rnacentral:rRNA from 1 species
GCUACACAUGCAAGUCGAGCGGAUGAGUGGAGCUUGCUCCAUGAUUCAGCGGCGGACGGGUGAGUAAUGCCUAGGAAUCUGCCUGGUAGUGGGGGACAACGUUUCGAAAGGAACGCUAAUACCGCAUACGUCCUACGGGAGAAAGUGGGGGAUCUUCGGACCUCACGCUAUCAGAUGAGCCUAGGUCGGAUUAGCUAGUUGGUGAGGUAAAGGCUCACCAAGGCGACGAUCCGUAACUGGUCUGAGAGGAUGAUCAGUCACACUGGAACU